rnacentral:rRNA from 1 species
AUUGAACGCUGGCGGCAUGCUUUACACAUGCAAGUCGAACGGUAACAGGCCUUCGGGUGCUGACGAGUGGCGAACGGGUGAGUAAUGCAUCGGAACGUGCCCAAUCGUGGGGGAUAACGUAGCGAAAGUUACGCUAAUACCGCAUAAGCCCUGAGGGGGAAAUGGGGGACCGCAAGGCCUCACGCGAAUGGAGCGGCCGAUGUCAGAUUAGCUAGUUGGNGGGGUAAAGCCCACCAAGGCGACGAUCUGUAGCGGGUCUGAGAGGAUGAUCAGCCACACUGGGACUGAGACACGGCCCAGACUCCUACGGGAGGCAGCAGUGGGGAAUAUUGGACAAUGGGGGAAACCCUGAUCCAGCUACGCCGCGUGGGUGAUGAAGGCCUCGG